rnacentral:rRNA from 1 species
ACGCUGGCGGCGUGCCUAAUACAUGCAAGUCGAACGGUCUUUCUAUGGAAGCUUGCUUCCACUGAGAAGAUAGUGGCGAACGGGUGAGUAACACGUGGGUAACCUGCCCAUAAGAGGGGGAUAACAUCCGGAAACGGGUGCUAAUACCGCAUAGUUUUUCUUGAUCGCAUGAUUGAGAAAGGAAAGACGGCCUUUGUGCUGUCGCUUAUGGAUGGACCCGCGGCGUAUUAGUUAGUUGGUGAGGUAACGGCUCACCAAGACGAUGAUACGUAGCCGACCUGAGAGGGUGAUCGGCCACAUUGGGACUGAGACACGGCCCAAACUCCUACGGGAGGCAGCAGUAGGGAAUCUUCCGCAAUGGACGAAGUCUGACGGAGCAACGCCGCGUGAGUGAAGAAGGUUUUUCCGGAUCGUAAAACUCUGUUGUCAGAGAAGAACAAGUUGGAGAGUAACUGCUCCAGCCUUGACGGUAUCUGACCAGAAAGCCACGGCUAACUACGUGCCAGCAGCCGC